rnacentral:rRNA from 1 species
GCAUAUCAAUAAGCGGAGGAAAAGAAACUUCAGGCAUCCCUAGUACGGCGAGUGAGCGGGAAGAGCUCAAAUUUGAAAUCUGGUAGCCUUCGGUUGCCCGAGUUGUAAUCUAGAGAAGUGUUUUCCGCGUUGGCCCAUGUACAAGUCCCUUGGAACAGGGCGUCAUAGAGGGUGAGAAUCCCGUCCUUGACAUGGACCCCCAAUGCUUUGUGAUACACUUUCAACGAGUCGAGUUGUUUGGGAAUGCAGCUCAAAAUGGGUGGUGAAUUCCAUCUAAAGCUAAAUAUUGGCGAGAGACCGAUAGCGAACAAGUACCGUGAGGGAAAGAUGAAAAGCACUUUGGAAAGAGAGUUAAACAGUACGUGAAAUUGUUGAAAGGGAAACGAUUGAAGUCAGUCAUGCUCUUUGGAUUAAGCCGUUCUGCGGUGUAUUUCAUUGAGCGGGGUCAACAUCAGUUUUGAUCGCUGGAAAAGGGCAGGAGGAAGGUAGCACUCUCGGGUGAACUUAUAGCCUCUUGUCGUAUACAGUGAUUGGGACUGAGGAACGCAGCAUGCCUUUUGGCCGGGAUUCGUCCACGUACAUGCUUAGGAUGUUGACAUAAUGGCUUUAAACGACCCGUCUUGAAACACGGACC